UCAGGGUAUGUCUACAUCUACAAUUUUGCAGCGCUGGUUGUUACAGCUGUAUUAGUACAGCUGUAUAGGGCCAGCGCUGCAGAGUGGUCACACUUACAGCAACCAGCGCUGCAAGUGGUGUUAGAUGUGGCCACACUGCAGCGCUGUUGGGCGGCUUCAAGGGGGGUUAGGGGAACGCGAGAGCAAACCGCGGGGAAGCAGGUCUCCUUCCCCGCGGUUUGUUCUCGCGUUCCCCGAACCCCCGUGCAAGCAGGUCUCCUUCCCAGCGGUUUGCUCCGGUGUUUUUUGAACCCCCGUGCAAGCAGAUCUCCUUCCCCGCGGUGUGCUGUCGCGUUCCCCGAACCCCCCUGCAAGC